rnacentral:miRNA from 2 species
ACGGAUGAUUAAAGUUGGACACGG